CGUCUUUCAUAUAAAUCACGCGUUUUACAGUGUCAAGUUGUCCGCUUAUACCAAUCAGCUUUUUUAGUUCCUUGGGUCCACAAAUCACAGUCGAAACCUCUGUCUCAUUUAGUGAGUGACAUAGAGCCGCCUCUCCCAAGGAAGCAUAUAUAGUCACCACCGUGACAUUCCGCCUAAAACAACCCUGCAAAGCAAUCUGCCACUCCGCCCGUGUAUCCGCAAAGAUUGCCACCCGCUCUUCCUUCCCAUGCCCAAUUUGCACCAAACCCGACGCAAAGCUACAAACAGUCUCAAACGCCUUCCCAUACGUAAGCCACUCAUAACCCCCCAAAUGAAGCUUCUCGAAAGACCUUCCAUCUGAGCUGACCACAGUCUCUCUAGCAAUUACCUCCCGAGUACCGAACAACCGCUUAUCAGCAAACCCCUUGCACGACCGCUCGAACAGUUCCGCG
rnacentral:misc_RNA from 1 species